rnacentral:rRNA from 1 species
GACGAACGCUGGCGGCGUGCUUAACACAUGCAAGUCGAACGGAAAGGCCCUGCUUGCAGGGUACUCGAGUGGCGAACGGGUGAGUAACACGUGGGUGAUCUGCCCUGCACUUCGGGAUAAGCUUGGGAAACUGGGUCUAAUACCGGAUAGGAACCAUCUUUAGUGUGGUGGUUGGAAAGUUUUUUCGGUGUAGGAUGAGCUCGCGGCCUAUCAGCUUGUUGGUGGGGUAAUGGCCUACCAAGGCGGCGACGGGUAGCCGGCCUGAGAGGGUGUACGGCCACAUUGGGACUGAGAUACGGCCCAGACUCCUACGGGAGGCAGCAGUGGGGAAUAUUGCACAAUGGGCGCAAGCCUGAUGCAGCGACGCCGCGUGGGGGAUGAAGGCCUUCGGGUUGUAAACUCCUUUCGCUAGGGACGAAGCUUUUUUGUGACGGUACCUAGAUAAGAAGCACCGGCUAACUACGUG